ACGCGGACUUCGGGCCGGCCCGGCAGCCCCGAGCCCGGCCCAGCCCCCUUACCGUAAAUACUGCCGCCUGGCCACUCCCCCCGUUACCAUGGAAAAUUCUGGGAAAAAGAGAUAUCAACUAUUAAAGGAGAAAGAAGAGCUAAGGAGGUGGCCCCUGCAUGGUGUGGCCUGGAGCCCCUGCGGAUUCUGGAAAUACUUCUGCAAGAAUUGAUUCCACACAUGGAGUCGCGGGCUGGAUAGGUAGGAGAACGAAUCUGGUUCUUGGCUGAAAAUAGAAGUCCUCCGAAGAAGGAAGUUUUUAAGGCAAGCUGUGUGCGCUAAUUUUAGAGAAAGUUCUGAGUUCUUUGCCUAAUCACCCACCCUCCUGAUAUCCUGCAAUCACGAUGUGUUA